AACACGUGGACAACCUACCCUAAGGAGGGGGAUAACCCCGGAAAACUGGGGAUAAUACCCCAUAGAUUAUAGAAGCUGGAAUGCUCUGUAGUCGAAAGGUCCGCCGCCUUAGGAUGGGUCUGCGGCCGAUUAGGUUGUUGUUGGGGUAAAGGCCCAACAAGCCGUUGAUCGGUACGGGUUGUGAGAGCAAGAGCCCGGAGAUGGAUUCUGAGACACGAAUCCAGGCCCUACGGGGCGCAGCAGGCGCGAAAACUUUACAAUGCGGGAAACCGUGAUAAGGGAACCCCGAGUGCCCGUAAAAUCGGGCUGUCCAUCAGUGUAAAUAACUGGUGAAGAAAGGGCCGGGCAAGACCGGUGCCAGCCGCCGCGGUAAUACCGGCGGCUCGAGUGGUGGCCACUAUUAUUGGGCUUAAAGCGUCCGUAGCUUGAUUGUUAAGUCUCUUGGGAAAUCUACCGGCUCAACCGAUAGGCGUUCAAGGGAUACUGGCAAUCUAGGGACCGGGAGAGGUGAGAGGUACUCCAG
rnacentral:rRNA from 1 species